CCUGGCUCAGAGCAGGGGCUCAGUAAAUGUUUGUUGAAUGAAUAAAUGAGUCCAAGUAUCUGCUUUCAGUAAAGUAGGAAAUGGCUGAGGUCCUCUC
rnacentral:miRNA from 1 species